rnacentral:rRNA from 1 species
GCUGGCGGCAUGCCUAACACAUGCAAGUCGAACGGUAACGCGGAGAGCUUGCUCUCUGGCGACGAGUGGCGGACGGGUGAGUAAUACUUAGGAAUCUGCCCAGUAGUGGGGGACAACAUUCGGAAACGGAUGCUAAUACCGCAUACGCACUACGGUGGAAAGUGGGGGCCUUCGGGCCUCACGCUAUUGGAUGAGCCUAAGUCGGAUUAGCUUGUUGGUGAGGUAAUAGCUCACCAAGGCGACGAUCCGUAGCUGGUCUGAGAGGACGAUCAGCCACACUGGGACUGAGACACGGCCCAGACUCCUACGGGAGGCAGCAGUGGGGAAUAUUGGACAAUGGGCGCAAGCCUGAUCCAGCAAUGCCGCGUGUGUGAAGAAGGCCUGCGGGUUGUAAAGCACUUUCAGUAGAGAAGAAAAGCCUAGGGUUAAUACCCCUGAGUCUUGACGUAACCUACAGAAGAAGCACCGGCUAACUCCGUGCCAGCAGCCGCGGUAAUACGGAGGGUGCGAGCGUUAAUCGGAAUUACUGGGCGUAAAGCGCGCGUAGGCGGCUUUGUAAGUCGGAUGUGAAAGCCCC